GUUACGUCAUGUACAUCCAUUGUGUAGCCUACAAAAUAGCCUACGUGACGUAUUACGGUAAGGACGAGUUCGGUUUCCUAUAUCAUCCAUUAUCAUUAAUUGACAUCCGACCACAGAAAAUUGUUUUACAAAUUCAACACAGAGAUGGAUGAAGAAAAAGUAAGUGCCUUAUGUCGCUUAUUGAAAGCUAUGGUUAUAUUUCAAAAUAUUUCUUACUUUGCCUAAUGCAAAAUAUUGUCAAAACCUUGUAUUUUGCUACCAUCCAGAUCAGAACGGACAGAUAGUGCUAUCCCCAUGUCACCCCCCCCCCAGUUUGCCUUAAAGCUACAAUCUUUAUUUCGUUUUUUCACCCUUAUUCACCCAAACUGCAGCCCGCCACUUUUUGUUAUAGGCCUAUUACUGAAGGAUGGGGUUGCGCGAGAGACGACCGCUGUCCACUGCACUUUGGUGCUGAACGCCAGUUCGCGGUAUUCCGAUUCAGUCGCUGUCAAUUAAAAUUAUUCUUAAACUGAAUCUCCAAUCGCGUCUGUUUUCGUGUUGUUUACGUAGUCCUACUUUCACACCAUCGGGUUUUUUUUGCUGACAGCUGUGACAAAGUCGACACACGGUUUGCAGACGUAAAGAAUGGACUUGGAAGAUAGCCACCGGGAGAAAGGGAUGGAAGAGAAGCCAGAUGCUCAACUAAAGGAAGAGAAGAAGGUCACGUCUGGCAAGGAAUCAGCAGACCAAGGCACUGAAGAAGGUCCCUCAGUGGCAUUCUGUUCACCCCGAGCUCACUAUCCAGAUAAAUACCAAAACAGAGCGGCAGUAAUUCAACUCUUACAUGAGGAAUUACGCAAGAGUCUACUUUACCCAAGAGGACGUCUGCUUCCCAAUCAUCAUCAAUUUCAUGAGGUAUCUCACUGAUAGACAACCAAAACACACCUUGCCAAAAUGUGUAGGAAGAUAGCGAAAACAGUUUCCCACAUUGCGGUAGAGAUCCUCAUCCCGACCCUUGCACAAAUAUUAGCGCUUGAUGCCGCUGGAGAAGCUAGUUCCUCUCCCUCGCUGACUGGAUCAGAGUGCGCCAACAUUGCAGGAACGUGUGGUGAAAUUGAAUGAGGAAGGUCUACCUAAGAGGCCUGGCAGUGGAAGGUCUCUGUGCAGUCAACGCAUCAAGAGUCCCUACCCCUCAUCCUUUGAAUUUGAACAGAGGCUGGAAUUGAUCCGCGAACACAGGUACCACAACAGAGAAUUGAGGACGAGCAGCAGUGGCAGAUUUUAUUACAGCUCCCACACAUCCACUCCACGUUCUUCCACAAGGUAUGUUCACCAACCACACUUCAACUGUGUGCCUGACCUGACUGAUCUUAGCACCGUAUACAUACUGAACUCAAGCCAACUUUUUCACACAUUACACAGCAUAUGACACUUCUAAGAAUGAAAAGCUAAAGAAUGACUGUUUUUAUGGUAAAGUAAGAAGGCAGACAGCACAUCUUUAGAGAAAUAAAUAUUAAAAUUAUUGUGAUUUAGGU
rnacentral:lncRNA from 1 species